rnacentral:sRNA from 1 species
GCAACCAAACGAUCCACUUCUUCUUCUUCUUCUGCUUCCUCUCCUUCCAA